rnacentral:lncRNA from 1 species
CAAGUAGCGAUACUGCAUGCGUAAGGCCUCUGAUUUCUUGAUGAAAUCUUUGAUUUCAAAGGGCAGCUUCUUGCAAAAGUUGAGAACCUCUGCAGUCUCUGCCUUGACUUCAAUGUCCCCUGUUGGCAUUUUCGGAUUCUCCUGCCCUGGGGGCCGAGAAGACACGAUGCCAGUCACUCGUACAACAGAUUCCACUGGGGCAUUGGAUAGGAGUUUUCUCACAUGAGAAUGUGCUUCAUCCUGUGGAAUGAUGAUCUGGGUGAGCCCCUGGAAAUCCCUCAAAACCAGGAACAGGCCUUGUCUUUGGUACUGAAUCCAUCCACACAACGUGACCUCCUGCCCUACGUGAGCAGCACGCAGCUCUCCACAGGUGUUGGUCCGAGCGGCAAAGCUAUUGACAUCUGGAGCCCGGUGCACCCAGCCACUGCUCAGCCGGGCCCGCUCGGUGCCCCGCUGAAAU